AUCGCAUAUGCCGAAAAGCGUAUAAUAGAGUAGGCU
rnacentral:ncRNA from 1 species